UACGUAGGUGGCAAGCGUUGUCCGGAAUUACUGGGUGUAAAGCGCGUGUAGGCGGCAGACCAAGUCGGCGGUGAAAGCGCCCGGCUCAACUGGGCGAGGUCCGUGGAAACUGGUCAGCUGGAGAACGGUAGAGGCGAGUGGAAUUCCCGGUGUAGUGGUGAAAUGCGUAGAGAUCGGGAGGAACACCUGUGGCGAAGGCGGCUCGCUGGGCCGGUCCUGACGCUGAGACGCGAAAGCG
rnacentral:rRNA from 1 species